GGCACAGGUCAGAGUAUUUUGCUCCAAACUGUUUUACUGAAUAUUGCAAUUGUCAUUAGUUAAUCAUUUAUUGCUUAACUUUCAGUUUGCUCCAAACUGUUUUUAUUAAUAUUGCUAUGGUCACUGUAGUUAGACACCUUAUGCUAGACAUUCAGUUUUAAUCCUAACUGUUUUUUCUGGAUACCACUUUAAUUAAACUUUAUUAAUUGACUUUCAGUUUGCUCCAACUGUUUUUAUUAAUAUUGCUAUGGUCA